rnacentral:lncRNA from 1 species
UGUCAGUUCAGUGGGAAAACCAUGUCAGGAUCCCAAAUAACUGGAAUGCAGUGUGGUACUGCAUGACAUUAGGGUGGAUGUAAAGAACUGCAGGAGUCCAAGGAUACAGUUUUUUCUGAUUAAGGACAGUAGUGUAUACACACACACCCCAUGUCUUUACAUAGUAAUUUCCCGUUUGGGAACAUUAGAAAUCAUGUGGUCAAGGUUUAUUCCAGUGACUGAAGUCAGGAAGGAAGAAAUUAGCUAAGAGUCACCUAGAAGAGGCAGAGCUGUGUCUGUAAUCCAGGUCUAAUUGGAAACAUGACUCAACUACACAUAUACAUGCACAUUUACACAUGGACAUACACACACACACCAGUUUCCUUUUCACUUCAAGCUUUUUCUGAUCCCCACUUCUUAAAAUCAUGAGUAGCAGCAUGUAUAAGUACCCUUGAAGCCUCUCUUAUAGAGAAUAUUCUAAAGGUACCAUUUAUUUGAGGAUAGAACCAUCUGUUCUAUCCCAAGGAAGUGACAGUGGCAGUUCUGCAUCAAUAAUUAGGAUAAGGGACCAGGACAAAGCGGAAACCUGCUGCAGAGGGCAGGUAAGGUAGGUGACAAACUAGAGAGAUGUGGAUCAAGGACCGGGGAUUUAGCUCAGUGGUUUUUCUGCCUGCUGCAUAAGCACAAGGACCCGAGUUUGAUCCCCAGUACCAAAAAAAAGAAAAAGAAACAGGAGAGAUGUGGAUGAGUGGAGCAUAUUACCCAUGCUUAUCAUCUUCAGGUUGACCUCAAACUUCAAUAGAAAAAGCAAGAAGGUACCUUUUUUUCCAGUGUGUUAACAGGUCCUGAAACUAAUCACUUUGAUGACUUACAGUUGCCUUUCACUUACUAUUCAUUUACUGACAGCUGACCACUGUGCUAAACAGGCUCUCACUAGCCUCCUCAGAUAUACUGCCUCUCACCUAGCCUCAAAAUGACUCUAUAAGAAGGAUAUUAACCUCAUUUCCCUACUAUGGAAAUUGAGAUUCGGAGAGACUAAGUAUCUUGUAUAGCUGGGAUCCAAAUCAAGUCUUUGUGAAUCCAAAGCUUAUAUUCUUUUCUAUGCCCUAAGGCACAUUUCAGAACUAAACUUCAUCAUGGAGCCUGUAAUGAUCUAUAUUUCCAACCAGUACCUAGCCUAAGGCCAGGCACAUAGUGGGCUCAAAGUGAACACUUGUUGAAUAAGUGAAUUCCAAAUGGGAUAGUUGACAAAUGAAGACCUGGGUUCAGCAUAAACAGUGUUUUGGGACAGCAGAGGAGGGCACAGCUGGCUGCUUAGAGAAAAUGGAGAAGUCUUUACAGAGGAGGAAGAUAGGGCCUGGGCAAAUAGGUAGUAGUAGAAAAAGACCAACAAUCCAGUAUUCCAAGAGCAAAAGAUACUAGCUGGCAAUUCACAGGACAAGAAAUCCAAAAGACCAUAAACUAUGAUAAGAGGUGCUCAAUAUCACUAAUGAUCAGAAAUAUGUAAGUGGUCUCAUACAUAGUGGAUGGGAAUACAAAUUGUAAAGGUAUUUGAGGAUAAGUAUUUAAUAUUAUCUAGCAAAAUUUUAAGUGAAGGCUGGGGAUGUAGCUCAGUGGCAGAAGCCCUAGGUUUGAUCCCCAGCACCACACAAAAAAGUGAGCUGUGUUCUUAAAUGUGUAUUUGCAAUUGUUGCAAAAUAUUCUGACAGAAAAAUGGAAAAUAAGUAUUCACCAAUAAGAAACAAAACAAACAAGGACAAAUCUGUAAUACUUUUUUUAUUUUUUAUUUUUUUGGUACUGGGGAUCAAACUCAAGACCUUACGCUUGCGAGGCAGGCGCCAGAACCACUGAGCUAAAUCCCUGGCCCUAUACUACUCUUGUUUUUUUUUAGGCUAUGCUUCUUGUAAAGAAAAAAAAAAGGAUGAAAUUGCAUCUUGGAUAGAUCAUGGAAAGAUCCAAGACAAUACAGUUAAAUGAAAAAGAAGGAAAAUUGUUGAAAUAGAUUUUGUACUCUUCUAAAGUCCAUCAAGGACCUAAUGGUGAGAGCAAGUAUUCCUUCAGUUCCCAAGGACUCUGCUGAUUCUGCUCGGCCUUGAGUGUAGCACCAAAUUAUUUUGCUGUGGAGAAGAAUGGAAUAAAGAGGGUGAAGACCAGCUGAGCAACUGUAGCAGCCAUUGUGGAAAGAGAUAAUGAUAACUGAACCAGAAAAAUGGCAAUGGGGGAUGGACCCAAGAGAUAUGGCUGAGGUACAAUCAAAAAUAUACAAUGACUAGUUGAGCAUGGACAAGAAGGAGUCACUGGGUGGCUGACAGAACCACUUAUUGAAACAGAGAAAUCAGAGGAGGAACAGAUUUUUAAGGGGACUAGGUUUGGGCUCAUUGACUUUGAGGUACCUUUGGACAUCCAGGUGGUAAAGCCUGUUAGACAAUUGGACCGAACAGAAAGGCACUCAAAAUGAAAAGGGCUCUGCAUAUAUAUAGGUUAUAUAAUUAGGUGUCUUCAGCUGAGAGACGGUCAUUGAAACCUUGGGCAAAAAUGAGCUCAUUGAGGGACAGUGUGUUUAAGAGGCAAACCAAGGAGCUAGCAGCACAGGAUUGAGGAGAAAGAUCAACUACUAUGAUAGUAUAAUAGAAGAAGUAAGAGAAACGUGGGAGUAGUGACUUUGAGAAAAGAGUGUGGGAGACAGGAUCAAUUAUAGUGUCAGAUAACACCAAGAGAAAAGUCAAAUGAAAUCCAGUGGAUGCAUAGGCAGCCAGGAGGUCUGCAGAGCCCAUCUUUAUUGUAGUCUGAGUAAAGUGGUGAGAGCAGAAGCCAGGGUGCUCUGAUAUAAGGAGGAAGUGGGAGAUGAGAAUAUGGAGAAACAGG